rnacentral:tRNA from 1 species
GCCUUGGUGGCGGAAUUGGCAGACGCAGAGGACUCGCACUCCUCCGGCCCCUGCAGUAACAAGCUGCAUGCCGUCCGGGUUUGAGCCCCGGCCAAGGCACCA